CGAGAAACGUUACUAGAUCGUACGAAAUCACUGCUAUUUCCCUAAACGGUUCUCAAUGAUUUUCCGAUGAUUUUCUUUGCACGUGCAUGCAUCCACGUAUUCCCUUCAAAAAGAAGAGAGAGAGAGAGAGAGAGAGAAGAGAGAAGUAUCCCAUUAAAUGGAAAUAUAUCGUCAUUGUCGUUCGAUCGAUCGUUUUAAUAAAAUACGCGUCAUCGUUGUGUCGUCACGAAUAAAUGCUUUGCUACGAAUGAAUGCAACAGGUUACUUUUGUGUACGUGCGAAUCUACGAUAAAGUUUCGUAUUAUUAAUUGGAAAUUUAUUAUUUAAUUUAUUAUUGGAAUUUUUAUCGAUUUCGAGUAAAAUGAGAAAGUUGAUCUUAUUCGAUGACAAUUAAAUUGUUUCCAAUUAGAAACAUCACG